rnacentral:RNase_P_RNA from 1 species
GGAGUUGGCCAAGACAAUCGCCGCCUACAUGUAGGGGGAGGAAAGUCCGGGCUCCAAAGGGCAGGGUGCCAGGUAACACCUGGGCGGCGAAAGCCGACGACCAGUGCAGCAGAGAGUAUACCGCCUAAGCGCUAGUAAUUUAUUAUUGGCGACGGUAAGGGUGAAAGGGUGCGGUAAGAGCGCACCGCGUCAUUGGUAACAAUGUACGGCACGGUAAACUCCACCCGGAGCAAGACCAAAUAGGAUCUCUAAUGGCGUUGCCCGCGUUGAGAUCGGGUAGGUUGCUUGAGCCAGCGAGCGAUUGCUGGCCUAGAUGAAUGAUUGUCCUCGACAGAACCCGGCUUAGCGGCCAACUCCUUCC